GAUGAACUGCUGGCGGCGUGCCUAAUACAUGCAAGUCGAGCGAACAGACAAGGAGCUUGCUCCUUUGACGUUAGCGGCGGACGGGUGAGUAACACGUGGGUAACCUACCUAUAAGACUGGGAUAACUUCGGGAAACCGGAGCUAAUACCGGAUAAUAUUUCGAACCGCAUGGUUCGAUAGUGAAAGAUGGUUUUGCUAUCACUUAUAGAUGGACCCGCGCCGUAUUAGCUAGUUGGUAAGGUAACGGCUUACCAAGGCGACGAUACGUAGCCGACCUGAGAGGGUGAUCGGCCACACUGGAACUGAGACACGGUCCAGACUCCUACGGGAGGCAGCAGUAGGGAAUCUUCCGCAAUGGGCGAAAGCCUGACGGAGCAACGCCGCGUGAGUGAUGAAGGUCUUCGGAUCGUAAAACUCUGUUAUUAGGGAAGAACAUACGUGUAAGUAACUAUGCACGUCUUGACGGUACCUAAUCAGAAAGCCACGGCUAACCACGUGCCAGCAGCCGCGGUAAUACGUAGGUGGCAAGCGUUAUCCGGAAUUAUUGGGCGUAAAGCGCGCGUAGGCGGUUUUUUAAGUCUGAUGUGAAAGCCCACGGCUCAACCGUGGAGGGUCAUUGGAAACUGUAAAACUUGAGUGCAGAAGAGGAAAGUGGAAUCCCAUGUGUAGCGGUGAAAUGCGCAGAGAUAUGGAGGAACACCAGUGGCGAAGGCGACUUUCUGGUCUGUAACUGACGCUGAUGUGCGAAAGCGUGGGGAUCAAACAGGAUUAGAUACCCUGGUAGUCCACGCCGUAAACGAUGAGUGCUAAGUGUUAGGGGGUUUCCGCCCCUUAGUGCUGCAGCUAACGCAUUAAGCACUCCGCCUGGGGAGUACGACCGCAAGGUUGAAACUCAAAGGAAUUGACGGGGACCCGCACAAGCGGUGGAGCAUGUGGUUUAAUUCGAAGCAACGCGAAGAACCUUACCAAAUCUUGACAUCCUUUGACAACUCUAGAGAUAGAGCCUUCCCCUUCGGGGGACAAAGUGACAGGUGGUGCAUGGUUGUCGUCAGCUCGUGUCGUGAGAUGUUGGGUUAAGUCCCGCAACGAGCGCAACCCUUAAGCUUAGUUGCCAUCAUUAAGUUGGGCACUCUAAGUUGACUGCCGGUGACAAACCGGAGGAAGGUGGGGAUGACGUCAAAUCAUCAUGCCCCUUAUGAUUUGGGCUACACACGUGCUACAAUGGACAAUACAAAGGGCAGCGAAACCGCGAGGUCAAGCAAAUCCCAUAAAGUUGUUCUCAGUUCGGAUUGUAGUCUGCAACUCGACUACAUGAAGCUGGAAUCGCUAGUAAUCGUAGAUCAGCAUGCUACGGUGAAUACGUUCCCGGGUCU
rnacentral:rRNA from 1 species